rnacentral:rRNA from 1 species
GGAAUAUUGGACAAUGGGCGAAAGCCUGAUCCAGCAAUGCCGCGUGUGUGAAGAAGGCCUGCGGGUUGUAAAGCACUUUUGUGGGGGAAGAGGGGCUGGUACGUUAAUAGCGUACGAGUCUGACGGUACCACACGCAUAAGCCACGGCUAACUCCGUUCCAGCAGCCGCGGUAAUACGGAUGGUGCGAGCGUUAAUCGGAAUUACUGAGCGUAAAGCGCGCGUAGGCGGCUGAUCAAGUCCGAUGUGAAAGCCCCGGGCUCAACCCGGGAAUGGCGUUGGAGACUGGUCGGCUAGAGUGCGACAGAGGGUGGUGGAAUUCCCGGUGUAGCGGUGAAAUGCGUAGAUAUCGGGAGGAACAUCGAUGGCGAAGGCAGCCACCUGGGUCGACACUGACGCUGAGGUGCGAAAGCGUGGGGAGCAAAC